CUCAAAUGGGAUUGUUUACCUCAGCCUGGUAGGCUUUUGAAGGAGUGCUGGCAGAAGUGGGGGCUGUUAGCUGCUGUUAGCCAACUGAAAUAACUGAGAGCUGCAGCGGGGACCCCUGAUACAGACAACAAAAGGAGGGAGACAGGCAUCCGUGGUACUUUGGAGCUGAGCUGGCCACUGAGAGAGGGCAGAGAGCAGGCAGAGUGACCUGAUCAGAUAUGGAACUAAUGCUCAUAAGCUGAGGUCGAAGUCCAGGUCCACAAAUAGGAGGUUCUGCCAGGCUGCAAAGAUGAUGUGAAGAGCAUCACACUGAGGAAGGAGAGCUCUCAACAGUGCUACUGCAGAUCCUGCUUUGAAUCUGGGGUUAACAGAAAGGGAUACAAGCAGAAAAAUAAUGUUCUUUCAUCAGUUCACUUAUCUGCAUGUUUGGAAGCAGUUAGGGCUCUGCUCAACCCAGUGGGUCUAUAAUGUAUGAUGUGACAUACAUCCCAAAACCACUGUUUGAAGUCCAAACAAAGAUUGUGGUGCUGUGAGUAGCUUCACAUAGUGCAGAAGACAUCACGUCUGAAAUCUCUCCUUCAGGAUAUGACCACCGACUUGCUCUCUACCCUCAGUCACAACUACAGGGAACAGGGGACAACUCUGGGACAUGGCAUCGUAUAUUUGAGUGCUUGAUUUAUGAAACACAGUGAAGGCAAACAAAAGCUGGAACAAGACGUUGAUAGGAAAACUCCCUGUGCUUCAGCUAGAAGACACACCUUUAAACAAAACCUCAAAACAUUUAUUAUAGAAAAGAACAAUUUGUACUGUAUUCAACAAUGUUUUCAAAGGAUUGUCAACCUCUGUCCACAGCCAUUAGAUUUUGGAAAAUACUCUAGUGGAAAUGAAAUGGGAGCUAUCAGCAUUACCAGAACUUGUGAAGCAAAUGCGACUGCAAAGUGGUGUGUAAUGGGGGCAUGGGGCAGAAAAGUGAAAAAACUGUAUCAUUUUUUUCCCCCUAGUUUUGAUUCUAUUUUAGAUUUUCUUAUCGGUACAUCAAAAGUCACAUAUGAAGUGUUAAAUAUUUCCAAAUGAUGUCUUAAAAGCAAACAAAAUAUUCAAAAUUCUAUUUAGAAAUGAGGAAAUUAAACAGAUUGUAAAUCUGAAGUGAAACCGAUUUCAAUGUCCCAUUAUACAGAAGCAUAAAACACAGCAUAUAAGGAAAUCAAUGUCUUCACUGAAGAAUUGAGAACUGUAUUACUCACCUUGGGGUCACUGUUUGGAAAAGAGGAAGGUGCAGACAGUUUGGGGAACAUUAAUAGACGAAGUUGAGCUUAUCCUUUCUUCUUAAUAGGUAAGAGAGAAAGGUUGGCAUUUUUUGUUCCUGCUGUAUAGCUUUAUGAUAUUAGCAAAAGGGUGAGAUUCUGUAAUCUAAGGUGGAAUUUAUCCCAAUAAGAAAAUGUCUCUUUUUUUAGAUACUCAGCUUUAGUUUCAUUUUCUUCCCCUUUAAUGCUAAAUGGGUCACAGGACUUACAACCUGCUCACCUUUUAAAACUAUCCAUGCUUCCACCUUCUGUCUGUGAUAAGCAGCAGUGAUUGGAAUUGCUUAAUAUUUCAGGCAGAAGGUGGGGUGGAAAUAUUCUACUGGUAAGUAAAGGAAGCAGCAUUGGUCUCACUGGUAGCAGGAGGAUCAGUGGUUUAGCAUCAGACAUUAUAUACUUGGAGGAAAUAAAAAAAAUCAGGAAAAAUAUAAAUAAAAGAGAGUGCAAAGUUUUAUUGUUAAGCGCGUCUGUCACUUCAUGAAACCACAGCUAUAUAUAAGAUAUAUGUGACAUACUAAUAGGAAGUAAUUUACCCAAGGAUGUUUUUGUGCCUUGAAGUGCCUUCAACAUUUCUGCUUUGAAAACUUUGCAAGUGUGUAUGCAUCAGAGCAGUUACCGAGGCACUGAAGUUCUCAAUUUGUGCACAAUGUGACUUUUAUAAUGCUAUUAAACUCAUCUCAUGGAAAGCGGUGUGCAGAAAACAAUGAUACAUGAGAUCUCAAGGAGGCUGCUGAGAGGGGGGAAGGAUGGAGUGGGGAGAAAGCUUUUAUAAAGUCACUUUGAGAAUGUACCUCCACUCCAGAAACCUUCUGUUUAUUCGUAUUUGAAAUUAUCUGUUGCACUUUGGGCUGAAAUUCAUGCUGCUUGCAUUUGUCUUCUAUAUAAUAAAUUAAGUGCAUUUUUUUUUCUUUUUUCUUUUCUUUUUCCUCUAGCUUUAAAGUAAAUGUAGUGUUGAUGAGGUGCAGCAGACUGACAGCCCUAGUAAUUGAACUCAUGCAUUUAUCUCCAGCAUGGGGCAAUGAAAGCCCAAGAUUCCCUCUUGUCCUGUGAGCUCUAACUUGAAGUAUGAGUAUGAAGUAUGAGUAUUUGAAGUACUCAAAUGAGUACUCAGAACCUGCAAGUACACUUGUUAUGCAAACAGCUCCAAAAGCUCAGAUUUUUUCAAAUGUAUUCUGACCUUUCUUCUUUCUUACUCUUGAUCCUAUCUUAGCUACCUGCCCUGCUCUUUUCUCUCUGGCACCUAGACAAUAAAACUUGUGUUCUUCUGUUACCUGCUGAAGGAAUAACAUCCCCAUGGAGCCCCGUUCUGAAUUCAUGUAUUCCCAUGAUGUUAUUGGAACACUCUAAAAUCUCAAAUUACGCAAUUGCAAAUGGUAUUUACAGGGUGAGACAGACUUUUUUGCCCAGUGGAAGCCAAAGGGAGGGUACCAGGUUAAUUUACUGCAGAAGAGAUGUGAGAUGGUUGUAGAUUUGGGGAGAGAAAACAAGUAGAUUUUCCUCUUUAAUAGGAAAUCCUUAAAUAGCGAUUUUUCUUUGUUCAUUUGUAAAUAUAAGCAAACACUGAGAACAGACAAAUAAACUUUCUCCAAAUUGAAAUUUCCUGAAGGAAAGGAAAUGGGGGAGGUGAAGGUCAGUUCAAAUAUUUCACUGUGAUAAGCUCAGAGAGCUUCAUUCAGAGGAGAACUACAUAUACCUUUUUAAUAUGUUGGAACAAUGAUUUUUUUAACCUAUUGUGAAAUGAAAAUCAGUGCAUCCCAUGCAGAAAUUGCUGCUACAGAAUAUUUUGUCAUCAUUUGUUUCUCUUCUCUCAUGAAAUUUGCUUGAAAACAAUAUUUUUAAUGCAUUUUGGAAGAUGCAAUUUUUAUCACCAGGCGGACAUUCUAACAGUAUUGGUUUGUAGAGUUUUAAAUGGCAGUGACUAUGGCUCUGAAAUCUACAGUUUCUGUAGAUUUCUAUUAGCAAUGAAGAGAGUGGCAGAUGGAGGCACGAUGGUGUUGUUCCCCAAUUUUCCCACACCAAGUUGGGGCUAUUAGGCCACAUCUUCCACUCCUGAGCACUCUCUUCCGGAGGCAAGUAGUUCUGGAGGAAGGUGUUUUCAAAUGUCAAAGUAGACACUUUGAUUGUCACACGGUAGCACCCAUCAUUUGCCACCUCCAUAAAUCAGUUAAGGGUCUUAUCACAAGGAAUACCUCAGGAAGCAAACUUUGAGACAGAAGACAAAGAAGGGUUCUCACAGCCUCCAAAAAGCAUGUCUAACAUCCAGGUUUAACUUUCUGAUCUCUUUGGAUCAUAGAAGUAGAAAGAGUCCAAAGGAGGAGACAAAGAUGGUUAAGGGCCUGGAGCAUCUCUAGUACAAGGAAAGGCAGAGAGACCUGGGGCUGUUCAGUGCCCCAGAGAAAGCUGAGAAGGGAUCUGCUAACUGCUUAUAAAUGUCUAAAAUAUGGAAGUCAACACAAUGUUGCGGACACUGGUGGUGAGCAACAGUAGAACAAGGGGCAUCAGGCAGAAACUGGGACACAGGAAGUUCCAUACUAACAUGUGGAAGAGCUUCUUUACUGUAAGGGUGACGGAGCAGUGGAACAGGUUGCCAAGAGAGGUAGUGGAGCCUCCUUCUCAGGAGUUAUUCAAGACCUGCCUGGAUGCAGGUAGUUAUGAGACUGCUGUAAGGAAACUCCUUUAGCAGGUGAGUUGGACUAGAUGUUCUCUAGAGGUGCCUUCCUAUUCCUACAAUUCUGAGAUUCUGUGAAUGAAACUAUACUAAUACAAACUUCAAUUGCUACACACAUAUCCGUCUGGUCUGGUAAACACACAGAGUCCACGUGAACUCUGCAACUACCAGUGGUUUGGUCAGCCAGGUGAAAACCAGCAAAAGUAUGGCUACACAAGCAAUGACCUCAGACUACUUUGUCAGUAUGGCUUUUUCCUUCAUGAAGAGCUUAGCAUGUGUUUCCUUAGUCAUGGAUUUAAACAUAUUGGAUGUACUCAGCCUUAGAGUCAAUAGCUAGAAAAAAACAAAACCCAGUACAAAUAAAUUCAGUUGGGUUUAGACAUAGCAGUAUCUAUUUAUUUAGGAUCAGAUACUUGGCUCUAUCCUUUGUUAGUCUUUAGAUCUGAUAUGGGUCAGCAGCAAAUAAAUUGUCUUAUAUUAAAGCAAGAAAAAGGUGGUGGAGGAAGAUGAACCAGGAUGCUUUCUCCCAAGGUGGUGAAUAACCACCCAGUACUUUUGUCCCUGCCUCCUUUCUCCUAAAGACACAGCCUGGGUGUUUGUCUAGAAUUUAUCAAAUCCAACACCUAUUUCCUUGCACCCCCUUCUAUUUUCUUAAUGGUAUUCAGGGAGCGUCAGACUUUAUUUUUCACACAACAUCAAGACAUUGUAUUAAAUAUAGGAUUUGGGACUUGGCAAAUCAACAAGCACAUUGUACUCCAAUGGAGACAAAAGGUGGCUGAACAGUUUAGCUAGACAACAUACAGGCAAAAGUAAUGCUCCACGGUAAGAGGAUUGCCAGCUCUAUUGUUGGGCCCACAACAGGAACCAACUUAUUGCAACAUUAAAUUUCCAUUUCAUAUGGAAGUUAUUUCAGGGAGAAGUCUAACAAGCAAACUGUGCCUACAGUUUAAUCCUAUUGUCACCCUGAUGGAUUUAUAUUUACCGCUGGGUUGUAGGGGUGGAAUGAGGCUGCUUUGUUAUUAUUUCAGCUGUAUUUAUUGGUGAAAAAACUACCCCAGGGUUAGGUAAACAUGACUAUUGCUACCUUUACAUAGUCAGGAAUUUCUGGUCUGCAAAUGUAACUAUAAAAAGACUAAAAUUAUAUCUUAGUUAUGCAGACAUUUUUCACUCAGAGAUGAGAAAAAUAUUUUCAGCAGUAAGUAAGACUUGUGAAACGUAUCUCUCUCUCUCUCUUUUUUUUUUUUUUUUUUGGCUACACAUGUUCUUAUGACCUCACCUCAUCUCAUCACCUUUUUUAAUAUGUACUGCAGAUAUCACAGCAGUACAUGAGGUCAAGUGUAGUAAGUGUAGUAGUUAUUACGUUUUCCUAUUUUCUGCAUCUUGGAACUAUCUAUAGAAGUUAUAUAUAUAUAUAUACUUAUAGGUAUAUAUUUUCACUGUAACCCUGAGAUGUGACAUCAUUUAGUUUUGCAGUAACUGCUGAUACUGAAUCACAAUGGCAGACAACUCCAAUAGACUAGAUAUUCAAAAAUUUAAUUAUUAGGUCCAGAAUAGAUCUGAGAGCCUUUAGUGAUCCUUUUUUAGCAGAAGGAUAUUUAACUUUGUGUGUGCAGAAAUGUAGUUACGUCUUUGGAUUACCAAGCAGAUUUAAUACAGACUCAGUUGAGUCAAAUCCUCAACUGAUGUUGAUUGGUAUUAUUUGACUAAAGUCAGUGUUACAGUGCUUUACAUAAGUAUGAAAAACAAACUUGUAGCUUGUAUGGCUUUCUUAAAAGUGAUUAUUUCUUUGCAUGUUAUUUGUGGCCGGAGUGAAUAAUUAACACGGAAAUCAGGAGUUCUUAUUGUUAUGCUGAUAUAAAAAUCUAGGAGGUUUGGAGAUGGCCAUAAUUUCUUGUACUUAGCAGUUUCAGACAAGUUUCAUUUGGGAAACAAACAAACAAAAGAACAAAAAAUGUUUGAGGAUGAAAAUUCUCUCACUCUUUUUUUUUCCUUUGCAAUUUAUUUAUUUAUUUAUUCAUUCACUCUUUUUUUUUUUUUAAUUGCACAAUCCACAUUUUGACUUAACUGUAUUUAAUAAGGAAAAAUUGAACAACAAAAAUUCCAGUCAUUUGUGAACAUUGCUUACGUAUUUUCCAGCCAGUUUUACUGACAGGAAAAUGGCUUAAAGCAAUUGUUGUUGUUGUUGUUGUUGUUGUUCUUUUUUUUCCUGUGAGAUACAUCCAAAUGCUGACUUAAUCUCUUUGUUUGAUUGUAUCAGGUUAGUGUUUUGAAUGGCACCAUGGAUCUUCCUAGUGCUCCUCAUUAUGUCUUUUUUAUAAUGUAUGUGUUUAACAUUUUUUUCCCUCAUGUGUGUAUUAUAUUUUUUGCUCCUCCAUACUCUAUUCUAUACAGAUGGAAACAAGAGCUUGUCAGCUUGACAGUCUUUCUCAGUCUUUUUUUAAAAAUAAUCUCUUUAAGUAUUUCUUGAUCCAAAUCUCUGCCUUAUGCUCUUUGGAGCAAGGAACAUUUCUGUUUUUUAAGUACAAAGAGUUCCUUUCUACAAUUAGCAAAAGCACAUUCAAGGGUGGAAAUCUGAUAUACAGUUCUCAAAAAAGAUGAAAAUAUGCAAAAUAUCAAGCAGUCCUGUUUGCGUAAUUCUGGUGCUAGUGAAGUUUUUGUAUGCCCAAAAUAUAUUCCUUCACAUAGAUUUGAAGCCCAUCAAUUAGAAACAUCUGCUUCUCCCAUUUUAGGUCCUACAUGGGGUCCCCACUCUCCUUGUUAAAAGUAUGUUUCUGAACUCUUGCUGCCAUCACCUCCAGCCCCACCAUAGGAUAUUUGAUCAGAAAUUACUAUAGUUCCUAACUAAAAGGCUCAAUCACGCUUAGUGUAACUACAGCUGUUUAAAAAUUAUAAGUUUGGGAUUUAUUUCAAGUAGAGGUUGAUUGUUCUCCAGAACCCAUUCAGACUGUUAUAAAGGAUCCUCAACAAUAACAUCAUAUUCAGGAUGCAAGGAACUUUUAGCUCCACUUUCCUCUCUUCCAGCACAGUGUUGAUGCCUUGAAUUACUUGUCACUACAUGCAAUUAAAAGGAACCCUAAAUAUUCAGGGAUGUCUAGGCUAUCUGAGUUCCCUGUGGAAUCAGGAAAGGGAAGAAGCUGGAAAGAAUUGCUGCUGGGAGUUGGGUAUUGUUCACUCUCCACCAUAAUGGAAAAUUGCUUGCCUAACUUUUAAGACAGCUGAAGUCAUCUGAUGUCAAACCCACCCUUGGCUGCAUACAUAGGAUGAUGUCUGCAUUGCAACAGCACUUUUAAAGAAAUGUAACCUUCUGUUAUGCCUACAAAGUGAAUGCUAAUAUCUUUUUGAUGGGAAGGGUAUUUCUGACUUUGAUUUGUAGAAGAUUCUGGAGGAGUUUCCUUCUUACUUAUUUCAAUAUUUAUUUACCUGAGUAGUGAAAAUAAUCUCACGUGGAAUUUAUUAUUUAUUAUUAAAAAUAUAAAAGCAGACUUAUAAUCACAUUUUGUUAGAUACUGGAAAAAUGAAUCAAAUGGUACAAUUUCUGUACCAGAGAAUUUGCAGCCUGAAAGAAAAUAUGUAACAAAAAUGUCCUAAUAAAGAGAUGAGGUUGGUAAGAGGAACAAAAUUUGUCGUACAAAAUCCAUAACCUGUCAGCAGUAGCAAUUAUAAGUCAUUGCCUGAUAUUUUUCAGAGCUUUAACACGUUUAGAUGACAGUCUCUAGACAAGCUAAUGCCAGUGUAGGUGAAUCAUAUAGGGUAUGAGUGCUUGUAAUCAGACUUGCUAUAUUUGGGAGAAUUAAUGUUUGUAUUAUGAAAAAAACAAAACAGUAUUUGCUUUGAAAAUCUCUAAAAUGGAAUUUGAUUUAUAUUUAGUAAAAGUCAUUGUUAUGGAAAUUAAUUAAUUUACAUUUAAUGUGCAGCAGUUAAAUAAAAAGAUUAUUAAGCUAUUCUGCUUUUUCUUAAAUAAAAUGUAUUUUUGCAGCACUUCUAUUAAAUUUGCCCUAGUGGAUUUGACUGGAGAAAAAACAUACCACAAAAGAAGAAAAAAAAUAUUUCUGGAGAAGUUGUAAUAUAUGUUAGGCUAAAAACAGACAUACAAAAAAGCAACAGAAGUCUAUGCUGAUUUAACAAACAAGCCUCUCGCUAGAUGAGUGUUGUACUAUCAUGUGUUAAGCAUGAAGGCACCCAUGCUAAUUGGACAGAUAUUCUGGCUGAUGUCUCAGUGUAUCAGUGAGCAGUAGUCACCUACCGAGAAUUAUUUGCAGCAUAGCUGAAGUUGAAUCCCAUCCUGAAAAUUUGAUGCUAGGAAGCGCUUGAGCAUGUGCAUCAAGCGGUGAUGUGGCUAAUCUAACAAAAACAUAUAAUUUUAUGUGAUAUUUAUUCUGUGACCUAAAGCCACAACACAAGUGAACUUCAUAGACUCAAACAUAUUAAAACCCAGGAUCCUACAUACAAUUUGCCCUAACUAGGACAUCAGGUCCACCUUUCGUAGGAUCAUCUGAUCUGUACAAACUUCAGUUUGGAUUCUAUAGUCUGUAAGUGAAGUAUCUAUCUACAGGAAAACCAUAUAUGACAAAUGUAGCAAUAAAACUGACUCGGGAUAUGCACAAAGCACUUUUUGGAUAAUGAGCCAAUUCAGCAACAGGGAGUUCCCCCUGCCUGUAAAGGCAGCCAUUGCUCUACCUGGUUUCCUGUAUGAAAACAACUGUGCAUACUGACAGAAUAAUUUGUAUUUGUUUAAUGAAAAUAAUACUUUUAAAUUUAUUUUCUGUGAAAAACUGUAUAUUAGUAUAACCUAAAUGUAUAUAAUAACCCUGUUUUAUGAGGUCUCCAAAAGAAGAGCAGCAAGUUGGAUUCACUUCACUGAACUGUUACUGUCUACAAUACGGCCUUCUCCAACCCAGAUGAGUCAGCCUAAACUCAUAGUAUAUUCAACAGAGAGCACUAUGCUCUUUAAGAAUGUGAUUUGUCUGUCAUAUUUUAGAACAUCUUAUCCUCUAGGUACCUAUUUCUAUACACAAUGGAGAGAACUGCACUGACUAACGUACAUGGAAGUGUCUACCUGUUCAUGAGAAACUCACAUUUUCAUUUAUAUUAAAUCUCCAUGCUGUAUGUGUAAAAUAUGAUGUCAUGGACUGAAACUGUUUAUGUUUGUUUAAUUACCACCAGUGAGUAUAUACACUGGUCAUCUGAAAUUGUUUCAGAAACAGUACUUCUGAUAAAGGCUGCUGCCUUUAUCAAUAGCUUGUUUGGUGUGGACUCUCCUCUGUCAAUGAAGAGAUAGUGAAUUUUCACUUAAAGUGGGAUUAUUUUCUUUAAAUGUGUAGAAACUUCGUAUUUUUUUUUUUUUUAAUUCUGUCUCUGGGAAAAAAAAAAAAAAAAAAGUGCUGCAUUAUCAUAAACACUUUCCUUAAUUUCCUUAACCAUCUCUCACAGUUUCCGAAAAAUAUAUUUUGACAUCUAUGAAUCAUGACAUUGAUUUCUUUUCUUGUGUGCUAUAUAUAUUCUUCUCCACUGCCCUCUAACUGUAUUGACCACUUACUCACUAAAAGUGAACUAAAUGAGUCAAAUUAGGAAUGGGUUGCCUAUUGUAAUAUUGGAAUAUCUCUCUUAAUUGUUCUCUAGGUAUUUUCAUACUAUAUCUAAUAAAUAAUAGUGACAAACUGCAAACAUCAUACAAAGUUGCAUUGAUUAUAAUAUUAAUUCUAGUAUAAACAAAAUCUACAUACUUUUUCUUUAAUUUGGGAGAAAUUAAUACAGCACAGGAAUUGAACAUAAACAAAGCUGGGAUCUGCAAUUCAUUUUUCUUAUUUACUAUAAAAUUGGGGCUAGUUAAGUUUCAAAAAUGCAAAUGAGGAAAUAAAGUCGGUAGCAAUUUUCCAAGGCAAUAUCUAAUUGGAUUUGCAUUUGUUUAUUUUUAUCUGUAUUUACCUUUGUUAACUUUUUUUCUUCCCCCUCUUCCUCGUCAGUCCAGUUUCAUUCAUUUUGUUUCUUCUCCUAUUUGUGUGUGUGUUGUUUUUUUUAACUUUGGUAUGAUUGCAUUUAUAUGCUUCUAACAAAUAAAGAAGUACAAUUCAUGGAAAAGAAACAGAACAAGUAAAUAACUAA
ensembl:lncRNA